UGAAGCGGCAAAAGCUCAAUUUGAAUCUAGCACCUUUCGGUGGUUCGAGUUGUAAUUUGAAGAUGGUAACCUUGGGUUUGGCUCUUGUCUAUGUUCCUUGGAACAGGACGUCAUAGAGGGUGAGAAUCCCGUCUGAUGAGAUGCCCAUUCCUAUGUAAGGUGCUAUCGAAGAGUCG
rnacentral:rRNA from 1 species